rnacentral:lncRNA from 1 species
GGAUUCCCAUCUUUCAUUUAUUACAGAGAGCUACAGGAAUUUCCUCUCCGCAAUAGGAUUCUAUGUGCAGGACUAUUGGUCUGUUUUCCUUCCUUGAUGUUUUCUGUGAGGUUAAUUAAGGCUACAAAUUUGGGAAGAGGGUGGAGUUGCCUCUGUGUCUUUCAUUGAUUAGAAUAAUACAUUGUUCCCUUCAAAACAUUGCAUUGUCCAGUGAAGCUAUGUGUACAUUUUCACUUUUGAGACAAGUUUGCUGAACUACAAUAAGUUACCUGCAUGUGUGUGUGUGUGUGUGUGUUCAGUGUCUUAUUGUCCAAGAAAAAAAAAUAUUUUCUGGUCUCAAUAUUAAUUAAAUAGGCACAGUUAACAUUAUUUGCUGUGCUGAAAGCAUUAGGCUCUAUUUGGAAUCAGAGAUGAGUCCUCAAGAAUUCCCUAAAUUAGCUGGGGAGAUGGUCAAUGCAAUUAACCACAGUACCAAGCAGAAAGAACUAAGUGAUGCAAGUAGGGACAGAAACAAUGCAUUUUGGGAAUUUAGAGAAAGGAGGAAUGAUUUCUCUGAUUUUAGGUGCUGGAGCUUUAUUAAGGUCAAGGUGAAUUGAGCUCAGCCUUGAAAAUAAGUAGAAAGGAGAUAGGAGAUGGAUAAACUGAUUUAAAGGAACGCAUAGCAUUGGCUGGACCAAGACCUCUUGUUUCAUUUUCUUAUAGAUAUUUCUUCAUCAUCUUUUUCUUGUUUUGGAACAUGUUGGAACACUGCUUAGGGGUGUUUUUUUAAGCCAAGCUAUAGUUCAGAGCAAAGAUUCAAGUAAUGAGCAGGAUGUAAUAUUGAGAGCUAACGAACAUUGAGGACCUACUCUUUGCCAAGCACUUGGCACGGACUUUUUAACCCCUGCCAUCAACCUGCAAGUGAGGCCAUUUGAGGCUUUGAUGGAUCAGGUAACUUUCAAAAGACAUGGUCAGCAGGUGAUGGGACAAGGAUUCAAAUCCUGGCCGUCUAAAUCUGGAGAUUGAACUCUUCAAUAUGCUAAAAUGCUGCCUUAACAGAGAACUUGAUGGCCUACGAUUCUAACGCAGGUGGAUCUGAAAUUUGCACUGGCCCAGCCUUGACUGCUCAUUUUUGUCACCUAGCAGACUCAUGUCCUGGGUGUGGCUGUGUACUAGAGUGAGUCACCUCUCUCCUUCCAUGCUCCACAUUAUCCCUGGAGCCCUUUUCUCCCCCUCUUGCUACCAUGCAGUAAGAACUUGAUUCUUGUCCCAGCUCUUACCCUCAAAGCCACCUGCUUUUUUUUUUUCUGACUCACAUUAGGAAUCACUUGAGAUUAAUAUCUCAGUGAUUUUUAUUUCAAGUUUUAUUUUCCAGCUAAUAGACAUAGAAUAGAAACAUACAACUUCAACGAGCCAGAAAUCCUCAUCAUAAUAAACAUUCUUUAUGUUGUAUCUGAGAAUGAUGUCUUCAGGAUACACUGUAAUCCCAGGAAGAUCUUCUAAGAUGUUUUUUCAAAAUAACAUAACCUGCCUUUAUAAACCUGUGUUUUUUAAAGGGUUAAAUGAAACUGGCCAAGGCCUUAAUUAUUAAUGUCCUAGGACGUGACAUUCCUUCAUUUGAUUUUAUGCCCUGGAUCCUGGGUACAUUAAGAAAAAAGUAUGAGACUAGCAUAAAGCAAUCUGAUUCUGCUGCUCAUCAUUAAGCUAACAUCUUCAAGAUAUGAUCAGAACAUAGGUCAGUCUUACUACAAACAAAGCCUGUGUUCCCCCCACUAAACUGUAAACAUCUUACUUUGAGAGGACCACACACUGUACUUUUCAAAAUUCCAGGCAGGAACAGGAGUUUCUUUUUCUGUUGAGAAAGACCUCUGUGGAUGAGCCUCAGAUGAUCCAACUCCAUGUAAACGUAAGGGACUGAGGCUUGAAUACUCGUCUUUACAAAAUAGCCCUGGCUCCAUGGCCUAGACACCUGGCCAUAUAUUUCACUUCCUUUGGCGUAAGCUGUCCAUUUUUCUUGCAGGUGGAAAAUUACUAGUAUUAAUACAGUCUUGGCCCAGUUAAUGAGGUGUACUUGAGCCCUCCCAGUGGGAGCAGGGCCUAAUUGCAUUUGCAAGCAGCCACCUGCAGGCAUAAAUUGUCAGUUCAGAGCUGCACAUGGUGCUUCCAAUGCUGUUCAGUUGUCCCUAUGGACACGCAGUUUGGUUCAGAAUGCUGAAUGUGUGUAGGGGUGUGUGUGAGCAUUCGAUUUGUAUGUGCAAGAAGGGGCGUGUGGAGGAGUAGGCGAAGAACAGCAGAGAAAGGCAAUUGUCUUUGAUGUAGAAUUUAACCUACUCAAAAAAUCCAAGCCUUUUGAAAAUACCUCUUUAAAAACAUCACAAAUGUUCGCUUCCACUGAGGAAGCGCUGAUGACCACUCCAGGGACCAUCUCUUCCUUAGAGAAGUUCGGAACCAGGUUAUUUACCCAAGGAUUGCCAUUGACCCAUACAGAACUGGACUUCUGGGGACUGGUCUAGGCCAUGUGCCCGCUUGCUUAGUUUCUUGGGAAGUCUUUCAAAAUGAAGCUCGUUUAGUAAAUAUAAUGUGAGAAUAAAUAAAGGAAAUGGUGAGAUCUUUCCUUUAUUUGGAUAUUUUCCUGUGCUCUACCAUUUAAAAGGAAUUUGCCCCAAUUUAAAAAAAAAGCAAACCUGAUUUUAUUUUUAUAGACUGGAUUGUAAUAUUAACCAGAGAUUUUAGUAGGAGUUUUGGUAAAACAUCUUGGGAAAGAUCAAAACUGGAAUUAAGUUGAACAAGGGUAAAAUCGUGGUGACUCAAUCAGCUGAACAUGUUAGAAGUGGUCUGUAACACUAGGAUGGAAACUCAUCUCCUGUCAGAAUUGAUGUCCUAGGGGCGCCUGGGUGGCGCAGUCGGCUAAGCGUCCUUCUUCAGCCAGGUCACGAUCUUGCGGUCCGUGAGUUCGAGCCCCGCGUCGGGCUCUGGGCUGAUGGCUCAGAGCCUGGAGCCUGUUUCCGAUUCUGUGUCUCCCUCUCUCUGCCCCUCCCCCGUUCAUGCUCUCUCUCUCUGUCCCAAAAAUAAAUAAACGUUGAAAAAAAAUUUUUUAAAAGAAUUGAUGUCCUAAAUAAUAAAAAAAAAUAUUGUCUGGCAAUUCGAAAUUGGCAGGAGAGGUCAUUUAUUACAAUGCAGGAAAAAAGAGAGUGCCAAUCUUUUCUACCUUUACCCUUGACUUCAUCUCUUGGUCUAUCUUUUAAAAACUUUUCUCUAACAGUUUCCUCCUCUUGCUUUCAGUAGCAUGGGAGUCACGUGGAGCUGUGAUGAUGGCACUAAGAAAAAUCCGGAGUUAAAAAAACUCACCUGGAUCUAAUGAACUACACUGCCACCUGCUAGGCUGUGACAUUGGGAAAAAUACUCAACCUCUCUGGUGUCGAUUUCAUCAUGAUAAACUGGGAAUAAUGGUCAAUCUAAUGUCAUGAAGUUGUUGGGAGAAUUCAGUGAUUCGAAUUAUAUGGGACAAUUAGCUACUGUAACACCUGCCCCAUUGAAACUGCUUAGUACGGGACAAGAAUUACUGUUAGUACUUUCAAGAGACCAAAUGAAUAUUUUCUUCCUUAAUAAAAUGGUAACCUCUAAGCUAUCCAGAGGUUUUAGUCAGGGAAGAGAUAUGUGUUAUGUCAUUUGUAAUUUUUUAUCACAAUAUCAUUACCUGUCUAUUUAAGUAUUCAGCAUAUAAUAUAUAUAUGUAUAUGUAUAUGUAUAUGUAUAUGUAUAUGUAUAUGUAUAUGUAUAUGUAUACUUAUGUGCACCUGUAUAUGUAUG